AUGGUAAAAUGGGCUGACAUCUGCUUGCCGAAGGACCGAGGGGGGUUGGGCAUCCCUGCAUUUCACCGUAUGAACAUUGCGCUCAUGCUUCGUUGAGUUUGGCGGAUCUUGCUGGGUGAUGGUGGUUUGUGGCUGCAGCUGAUUGAGUCCAAGUACUUGCAGGGCCAGCCCCUCUUGGCUUGCUCGCACUCGGCUGGUCCCAGUUUUGGAAAUCUAUCCAUGCCAUCAAGGAUGAGAUUAGGAUGGGUUUGCGGUUCUUGGUUGGCAAUGGGUCUGGGACCCAGUUUUGGUUGGACCCCUGGCUUGAUGGAGAGCCUCUCCGCAUGUGGUUUCCGAGGCUCUUUGUGA
rnacentral:rRNA from 1 species